AAAUGAUUUUCCUUUUGAUAGGUUAGGGAAAAAUAUUCAUUUAUUAUUUCAGAUAUUUUAAGACCUUACAAUUUAUAGUAGGUAAAAUGAUAAAUAAGUUUAUCAUAUUUUUGCUUUAUAUAAAACUUUUCUUUCAAUUAUUAUAUGAUUAAACUAUGAUAUUUGGAUAUUCAUUUUUAAUAAAAUACUUUUUUUUAAAAAAAAUUAUGAUGUUGCAGGUUAGUGGACUGGCUUGCUGUCUAUUCGUGUUGGAGCCUUUAACAGAAGACCUACAACUGAAACAAAUCUAACC
rnacentral:lncRNA from 1 species